UACGGGGGGGGCAAGCGUUGUUCGGAAUUACUGGGCGUAAAGGGCUCGUAGGCGGCCAACUAAGUCGGAUGUGAAAGCCCCGGGCUCAACCUGGGAACUGCAUUCGAGACUGCAUAGCUAGAGUAUGGGAGAGGGAAGUGGAAUUUCAGGUGUAGCGGUGAAAUGCGUAGAUAUCUGAAGGAACAUCAGUGGCGAAAGCGACUUCCUGGACCAAUACUGACGCUCAUGUGCGAAAGCGUGGGGAGCAAACAGG
rnacentral:rRNA from 1 species